GACGAACGCUGGCGGCGUGCUUAACACAUGCAAGUCGAACGGAAAGGCCCUGCUUUUGUGGGGUGCUCGAGUGGCGAACGGGUGAGUAACACGUGAGUAACCUGCCCUUGACUUUGGGAUAACUUCAGGAAACUGGGGCUAAUACCGGAUAGGAGCUCCUGCUGCAUGGUGGGGGUUGGAAAGUUUCGGCGGUUGGGGAUGGACUCGCGGCUUAUCAGCUUGUUGGUGGGGUAGUGGCUUACCAAGGCUUUGACGGGUAGCCGGCCUGAGAGGGUGACCGGCCACAUUGGGACUGCGAUACGGCCCAGACUCCUACGGGAGGCAGCAGUGGGGAAUAUUGCACAAUGGGCGGAAGCCUGAUGCAGCAACGCCGCGUUCGUGAUGACGGCCUUCGGGUUGUGAACCGCUUUCGCCUGUGACGAAGCGUGUGUGACGGUAAUGGGUAAAGAAGCACCGGCUAACUACGUG
rnacentral:rRNA from 1 species